UACGUAGGGUGCGAGCGUUGUCCGGAAUUAUUGGGCGUAAAGAGCUCGUAGGCGGUUUGUCGCGUCUGCUGUGAAAACGCGAGGCUCAACCUCGCGCCUGCAGUGGGUACGGGGCAGACUAGAGUGCGGUAGGGGAGAUUGGAAUUCCUGGUGUAGCGGUGGAAUGCGCAGAUAUCAGGAGGAACACCGAUGGCGAAGGCAGAUCUCUGGGCCGUAACUGACGCUGGAGGAGCGAAAGCGUGGGGAGCGAACAGG
rnacentral:rRNA from 1 species